rnacentral:lncRNA from 1 species
CAAGAAUCCUCGUUCUUCUGGGUGGGAAAAUGGCGUGUGGAAUCCAAGAGCCAGCACCAGACCUGCAUUUGUUAUGGGUGUCACUCCUCCUCCCUUUUGUGAUGUCCCCUCUGAGGCCCACUCUGGAUGACUAUGGCCCUCACCUGGCCCUGGGCAGGGGUGCCACUGUGCUCAGAGCCCUCCCCAUGGUGUUUGGACCGAGCUGCUCAGGGGAGGGAAGGAGGAGGGCAGUGCCUGAACGUGGAUUCAGAAAACAUGAGCUGUGUUUCACCUAAGGGGGCAAACUGCAAUGGGAAAGGCUAUCCAUGAACUCCCCAUCUGAUAAUCCACUCUUCAGAGUCAGGACUGGAUGAAGACUCCUGUAAAACAGGGUCCAGCUCAGAUGUCCAUCAAUAAGAGGAGGAAUACAAAAACCAACUGUGGUAUAGUCAGGCACUGCGCAAUCACUCACUAAGAGUAGAAAAGAUUCCUGAUUCCUGCAAUGAAUAGACGAUGCCCACAAAAAUUAUGAUGAGCCACAGAGACCAGACACAAGAGGAUGCAUCUGUGUCUUUCCCAUGAAGUUCUAAAGUCAGCAAAACUAUGGUGGAGAAAAACCUCAGAAAAGGGAUUGCCUCUGAGCCGUGGGGGAGGGGAUUUAGGGGAAGGAGUGUGAGGGAACUUUCUCCGGGUGACAACGGGUGUCUACAGGCAGGUGAGUGCAAGCAGCAAAUUCAGCAAAGCUACACUGGAGACUUGGAUCUUCCGUUGUAGGAAAACUUUACAUCAAAAGAAGUCAACAAGCUCUAGACCCUAGUAAGUGAAUAUGCACACUCACAUAUUUGGGGGUGUGUGCUGGUGUCUGUAAUUUACUUUGAAAAGCAUCAGAACAGAUGGGCUGAUGGUGGAAUCCAUGGGUG